rnacentral:rRNA from 1 species
UACGGGGGGGGCAAGCGUUGUUCGGAAUUACUGGGCGUAAAGGGUUCGUAGGUGGCUUGCUAAGUCAGACGUGAAAUCCCUCAGCUUAACUGGGGAACUGCGUCUGAGACUGGUGAGCUUGAGUGCAGGAGAGGAACGCGGAAUUCCAGGUGUAGCGGUGAAAUGCGUAGAUAUCUGGAGGAACCCCAGAGGCGAAGGCGGCGCCCUGGCUCGCAACUGACGCUCAGACACGACAGCAUGGGGAGCGAACGGG